rnacentral:lncRNA from 1 species
GCCCACGAGUGAUCAGACCAGCGGACGGGGGAGAGACAGCCACCCCCUUGGAGAAUUCUCCCUACUCCUUGGCCCUUGGACUGUUGUUGUGUCCUUACUUGCAGUUGGAGAGACAGACAGAGACAGAGACACAGAAAGUGAGAGUCUCGGGGUCAACUCUGAGUGUGAAGAAGUGCUCUGCAGCACCCUUGGGGAUCCCCAGUGAUGCCCUCCCCUCGCCACGCUGUGGAGGAAGCUGCGGAGUCCUUGGUCUCGGUGCUGCGGUCGGCUUGCUGUGUGUCGGGGCGGUCACAUGCCUCUCUGAGCUUUGGUUUCAUCAUCUGGGAAAGGAUGGCAUUAGUCUUAAUCACGGACGGCAAACCAGUGAUUCGUGAGCUCAAUGUGGUUUUUCGAAUCACCCGUUUUCCCCUUCCUUUCUUGUGGACGUUUCAAACUCGCGUGAAGCAGAGGGAUGAGUCCAGCGGAAGUUCACAGCUCAGCUUCUACGAUUAUGAACAUGCACCUGGUUUUGUUCCAACUAUUUCUACUCUCCACCCACGUUCCCCCUAGAUUAUAUCAGAGCCAAUUACAG